AACGGCCGCGGUAUCCUAACCGUGCGAAGGUAGCGUAAUCACUUGUUCUUUAAAUGAGGACUAGUAUGAAUGGCACCACGAGGGUUAAACUGUCUCCUUUUUCUAAUCAGUAAAACUAAUCUCCCCGUGAAGAAGCGGGGAUUAUAUUAUAAGACGAGAAGACCCUAUGGAGCUUAAAACAAAUUAACACCUGCUUCUACCUAUUUUUCUUCCUGAACUCACACAUAAAAUAUAGCACUAUUGAUUAAUAGUUUUCGAUUGGGGUGAUCAUGGAGCAAAACCCAACCUCCACGACGAAAAGGGAGCACUCCCCUGAGCUAAAAGCUACAACUUUAGGCCCUAAAAAAUUAACGCACUUUGACCCAAAUUUUUGAGCAACGAACCAAGUUACCCUAGGGAUAACAGCGCAAUCCAUUUCAAGAGCCCCUAUCGACAAAUGGGUUUACGACCUCGAUGUUGGAUCAGGGUAUCCCAGUGGUGCAGCCGCUACUAAAGGUUCGUUUGUUCAACGAUUAAAACCCUACGUGAUCUGAGUUCAGACCGGAGAAAUCCAGGUCAGUUUCUAUCU
rnacentral:rRNA from 1 species